CGCGGAGUAGGGGAGCGGCGUCCCCGGCAGCCUCAUAAGCUCGCAGAUCGCCGGUUCGAGUCCGGUCUCCGCGU
rnacentral:tRNA from 1 species